CCUACGGGAGGCAGCAGUGGGGAAUCUUGCGCAAUGGGCGAAAGCCUGACGCAGCCAUGCCGCGUGAAUGAUGAAGGUCUUAGGAUUGUAAAAUUCUUUCACCGGGGACGAUAAUGACGGUACCCGGAGAAGAAGCCCCGGCUAACUUCGUGCCAGCAGCCGCGGUAAUACGAAGGGGGCUAGCGUUGCUCGGAAUUACUGGGCGUAAAGGGAGCGUAGGCGGAUAGUUUAGUCAGAGGUGAAAGCCCAGGGCUCAACCUUGGAAUUGCCUUUGAUACUGGCUAUCUUGAGUGUGGGAGAGGUAUGUGGAACUCCGAGUGUAGAGGUGAAAUUCGUAGAUAUUCGGAAGAACACCAGUGGCGAAGGCGACAUACUGGCCCAUUACUGACGCUGAGGCUCGAAAGCGUGGGGAGCAAACAGGAUUAGAUACCCCUGGUAGUCCACGCUGUAACGAUGAGUGCUAGUUGGUUCGGGCGACGGCGAUGCCGUCGGUCGGGUGGACGGCGAGCUAACCGACAUUAAGACACCUCCCGCCCGUCGGGGAGGUACGGUCGGCAAGAAUUAAAACUACAAAGGAAAGUUAGACGG
rnacentral:rRNA from 1 species